GAUGAACGCUGGCGGCGUGCCUAACACAUGCAAGUCGAGCGAUUCUCUUCGGAGAAGAGCGGCGGACGGGUGAGUAACGCGUGGGUAACCUGCCCUGUACACACGGAUAACAUACCGAAGGGUAUGCUAAUACGGGAUAAUAUGCUUUAGUCGCAUGGCUGAAGUAUCAAAGCUCCGGCGGUACAGGAUGGACCCGCGUCUGAUUAGCUAGUUGGUAAGGUAACGGCUUACCAAGGCGACGAUCAGUAGCCGACCUGAGAGGGUGAUCGGCCACAUUGGAACUGAGACACGGUCCAAACUCCUACGGGAGGCAGCAGUGGGGAAUAUUGCACAAUGGGCGAAAGCCUGAUGCAGCAACGCCGCGUGAGCGAUGAAGGCCUUCGGGUCGUAAAGCUCUGUCCUCAAGGAAGAUAAUGACGGUACUUGAGGAGGAAGCCCCGGCUAACUACGUGCCAGCCGCCGCUGUAA
rnacentral:rRNA from 1 species